UCAGAGCAGUUUGCUUACCAAUUAAUGUUCAGUUUCUUGUGAUUUUGCCAGAAAGCUUGUAGUUCAGUUAAUAAACAUCGCUGUUUCCCGUUUCUUAUGUAACACAACAAGUAUUUUCCCCCGCCAAUAAACAUAUUUUCCACAGCAUCGCAGUCAAUACAGAGCUAGUUAAACAGCAGGCGGACUGUUGUUUACAGCUCCACCUGCGCCUGUUGAUUGUCUUUUCAAUGACUUCCAGUUACGGAGGAGGAAGCUCAUGAGAGCUCAGACUUUGACCCCCAGUCGAACCGCUGGACUUCAGAGAGGAGGAAGUCAUUCAGGGGCCCCUGGAAUACGCAACGUCAUCAUCAGAGUUCUUCCGGGCUUCUCAGAACUAUGAAGGAGGAAAGACACUACCUACAGCUAACCCUAUACACAGGCUGACUUCAUCCAAACAACAACCAUAAACAGGUUCUCUCUUAUACUUUGAGGUACCUCACCACACAGAUUGGCCUAGAGUUCACUUCUGAAUUGUGUCCCUCCUUCUCGGUGCUAUGAAGGCAAAGGGAAUGUGAUGCUGAGUGUCAUUUCCAUGGUCAGAAUCCAGAUGAGAGAAGAUAAAAAUGUUGAUGUGAUUAUCUGUGUCAUUGUCAUGCUGUCCCUGCAAUAAGUUUUGCCAACAGCAGCAGUCAAUCUUCCUGCUGGACAUAUGGUGUGAAAGAGAGACCUGCAGGCUCUACUAAGGGCUGAAAGAACAUUCAGUUUCAACAGGCAGAGUGAACACAAGUAGGAAGUUAUGUAAACAGCCU